GACGAACCGUCCCAAACGUUAUUCGGAAUUACUGGGCUUAAAGGGUGCGUAGGCGGCGCAGAAAGUCGGGUGUGAAAUCCCUCGGCUCAACCGAGGAACGGCGCUCGAAACUACUGUGCUCGAGGGAGACAGAGGUGAGCGGAACUCAGGGUGGAGCGGUGAAAUGCGUUGAUAUCCUGAGGAACACCGGUGGCGAAAGCGGCUCACUGGGUCUCUUCUGACGCUGAGGCACGAAAGCUAGGGUAGCGAACGGGAUUAGAAACCCGGGUAGU
rnacentral:rRNA from 1 species